GGCGAACGCUGGCGGCGUGCUUAACACAUGCAAGUCGAACGGAAAGGCCCUGCUUUUGUGGGGUGCUCGAGUGGCGAACGGGUGAGUAACACGUGAGUAACCUGCCCUGGACUUUGGGAUAACUUCAGGAAACUGGGGCUAAUACCGGAUAGGAGCUCCUGCUGCAUGGUGGGGGUUGGAAAGUUUCGGCGGUUGGGGAUGGACUCGCGGCUUAUCAGCUUGUUGGUGGGGUAGUGGCUUACCAAGGCUUUGACGGGUAGCCGGCCUGAGAGGGUGACCGGCCACAUUGGGACUGAGAUACGGCCCAGACUCCUACGGGAGGCAGCAGUGGGGAAUAUUGCACAAUGGGCGGAAGCCUGAUGCAGCAACGCCGCGUGCGGGAUGACGGCCUUCGGGUUGUAAACCGCUUUCGCCUGUGACGAAGCGUGAGUGACGGUAAUGGGUAAAGAAGCACCGGCUAACUACGUG
rnacentral:rRNA from 1 species